rnacentral:lncRNA from 1 species
ACUCCGGAAGAACUCAUCUCUUGGGACGAUCGCAGACAGAGGCUUUUUGCCAUGUUUUCAAGAACUCGGUUGAACUUUGGGGAGCACACGAGCCACCACAUCCUCUAUGGGCAACACAUUUGGAAUCCAUUUUGAGGCACAUCAGAGAAUUUCUCCUGGCAUCCUGGCUGGUCCUAGUCACUCCCACUGGAUUAUGUGGAUUCAGCAGAGGCUUGGCUGUUUCUGCUGGAUCAUAACACUGCUGCUGAUUCCUGUUUGGUAUCCUGACACUACUGAACUGGACUGCUGGUGUCCUGGCAACGGAGAUUGGAAUCACCUCAAAGAAUUACUUCUAAACAGGUCCACACCCCCAUGUCCUAUUCACCAUCUUUUUCCCCUACCUUUGAAAGGUGGGCUAGAAGUGGGGUCAAAGCAUUUGG